rnacentral:rRNA from 1 species
AGCGAACGCUGGCGGCAGGCCUAACACAUGCAAGUCGAACGAACCUUUCGGGGUUAGUGGCGGACGGGUGAGUAACACGUGGGAACGUGCCUUUAGGUUCGGAACAACUCAGGGAAACUUGUGCUAAUACCGAAUGUGCCCUUCGGGGGAAAGAUUAAUCGCCUUUAGAGCGGCCCGCGUCUGAUUAGCUAGUUGGUUGAGGUAAUGGCUCACCAAGGCGACGAUCAGUAGCUGGUUUGAGAGGAUGAUCAGCCACAUUGGGACUGAGACACAGCCCAAACUCCUACGGGAGGCAGCAGUGGGGAAUAUUGCGGAAUGGGCGAAAGCCUACCGCAGCCAUGCCGCGUGAAUGAUGAAGGUCUUAGGAUUGUAAAAUUCUUUCACCGGGGACGAUAAUGACGGGACCCGGAGAAGAAGCCCCGGCUAACUUCGUG